rnacentral:rRNA from 1 species
GAUGAACGCUGGCGGCGUGCCUAAUACAUGCAAGUCGAGCGAACAGACGAGGAGCUUGCUCCUCUGACGUUAGCGGCGGACGGGUGAGUAACACGUGGAUAACCUACCUAUAAGACUGGGAUAACUUCGGGAAACCGGAGCUAAUACCGGAUAAUAUAUUGAACCGCAUGGUUCAAUAGUGAAAGACGGUUUUGCUGUCACUUAUAGAUGGAUCCGCGCCGCAUUAGCUAGUUGGUAAGGUAACGGCUUACCAAGGCAAUGAUGCGUAGCCGACCUGAGAGGGUGAUCGGCCACGCUGGAACUGAGACACGGUCCAGACUCCUACGGGAGGCAGCAGUAGGGAAUCUUCCGCAAUGGGCGAAAGCCUGACGGAGCAACGCCGCGUGAGUGAUGAAGGUCUUCGGAUCGUAAAACUCUGUUAUUAGGGAAGAACAAAUGUGUAAGUAACUAUGCACGUCUUGACGGUACCUAAUCAGAAAGCCACGGCUAACUACGUG